CUUUAUACGGUACGGAGGGGUAUUUUCCAACAAUUCAACAUAAAAGACUUACACCAGAACACGAUUAUCAUAAUUUUGGAAUAGUUAUCAGAGAAUUACUGACAGGUGUUGAUCCAACGGAAUAUGAGAAGGACGACGCCAUACAACUGCGCAAAUGGGACAGUAGAAGAGUUGAGAAUAAUAUACAGGAUCGAGUUUGGCCCAAGGAAUUCGAUGAA